CGACUCUGGAGAGCGACCGGCAUACCGGUCCACCGAAGGGGCAAGCCGAUCGGCCGGGUCCCCGGGAUCCGCUCGAACGGUGUAUCUCUCAGGUUUCGGACAGAGGGGG
rnacentral:ncRNA from 1 species